UGCAGAUCCUUAAGCAUCUUGGGCCAAUCCUCUGACUUUUCGGUCACUGAGAACUUAUCGAACAGCAGACAGUGGCAUCUCUCAUUCUUCAAGACCUGGCUUGGCCAGUACCUCCUUCACGCUGUCUUCACAUAUGCCCAUCUCCUGGAGUGCCCUUUCUGAAGUUGCAUGCAGUCUCUCAGUGCCACAUGGUUCCUCUGGAUCCAGAAGGAGAAGAAACUGAGAGGCACAGCUGGAAAAUGGACCACAUGUGCACUGGAGAUGUUCUUUCGAAGCUCUGCGGUGGCAUGGGUCUGUGGGCUGAGGAGGGAAGCUGUUUUACAACCGCUGGAGAAACUUUGUUGGUGCCAUUCAUCUGGAAUAUUCUGUCCAUCUCUACCUGAUCACACCCUAGCAGCCAUUUCUGGUUGCUUGACAUGGUAUGUUCUCUUCGAAGCCUUCGCCAAUUUUCCCAACUUACCUCUCUUACACAUUGUUCGUACUGGAAAUUCCUCCAGGGUGGUGGCUGAUGGAGCUUGGCA